rnacentral:rRNA from 1 species
AUUGAACUCUUGCGGCAGGCCUAACACAUGCAAGUCGAACGAGUCGCGGACGGGUGAGUAAUGUUUGGGAAAUUGCCUGAUGGAGGGGGAUAACUACUGGAAACGGUAUCUAAUACCGCAUACCCUCAGAUGUGCCCAGAUGGGAUUAGCUUGUUGGUGGGGGAACGGCUGACCAAGGCGACGAUCCCUAGCUGGUCUGAGAGGAUGACCAGCCACACGGGAACUGAGACACGGUCCAGAGGCCUACGGUAGGCAGCGGUGGGGAAUAUUGCACAAUGGGCGCAAGCCUGAUGCAGCCAUGCCGCGUGUAUGAAGAAGGCCUUCGGGUGGUAAAGUACUUGCAGCGGGGAGGCGUUACCCGCAGAAAAAGCACCGGCUAACUCCGUGCCAGCCGCCGCGGUAAUUC